rnacentral:tRNA from 1 species
GCCGAGGUCGCAUAACCUGGUAUUGCGCCAGCCUGGAAAGCUGGUUUCCUUUGGGAUAUCUGGGUUCAAAUCCCAGCCUCGGCG